GGGGGCGCACUGGUUUCGACCGGUUUCGACCGACGCCGGGCUGCGUGCCUGGGACCCCGAGUCACCCUGAAAUCCUCUCGGGAAGGCAACUUCAAUUGCCAACAACUUUUCUCUUGCUGCCUAGUUAAAUAGGUAGCCGUCCCCUCGCGGAGUGCCCGCGGCUGUGGGGGGACGCCAACAGCGGGCUGGUCGGAAAACUGCGCCUCGGGGUGCUCCGACGAGACUUUACCGAGGCUGGUCCCAAUGCCUGCGUGUCCGCGGGUGGCGGCGGGACGAGACACUAUCCGCAGACUACGCACGUAGACGCCCGACGCCUGGCGGCUCCGGGACGGGGGUUCGACUCCCCCCGCCUCCACCA
rnacentral:tmRNA from 1 species